CUCUGCAGGGGCAGCUCCAGGUCGGGCGCCUGGCCCAGCAGGUCGGAGGCGGAGGCCGCCAGGCCCUUGGUGGCGUCCUGCGCACCGCCGCAAGGGACACAGCAACCGUUAGGAACCCGCGUAUCUUUUCCAUCCCAGCCACUUCAGCAUAAGGUUGCCAAGAGCCGGGUAACUGGGUUUGCCAUGCGCGCCUGGAGACAUAGCGGUAUGGGCACGCGCGCGCGCACGGACCUGCAGCGGCUUGACGGCAUCGCGCAGCGGGGCCAGGUCCAGCGUCUGGCCCAUGACGGUGAUGGAGGCGGGCAGCUCCAGGUUGCCCUCGAUGGAGGGCGUGUGCAGCACGCCGCGCUCAACGGUGAACUGCAGCCUGGGGGCAGUACAGGUCACGUGUACAGGCGGAGACAGCAGUGUUUACCAGGGCAUCGGUGCGUGGGCUGUGACGAGCACACACGCGAGUCAGGUGUAGGCAUUGACUGCUUGGCCGUGCUUGGACGUGGCC
rnacentral:lncRNA from 1 species